GUGGGCCGGCGGCGGCCGAGCAGGGAAGCGAGGUGGAGGGAUAUGCGAGGCUUUGGAGGAGCUUUAUUGGGCGUUAUUACAGGUGUAUUCUUCCAAAUGAACUGGAACAAAAGUCAUAUUGACACCACAUUUUCGAGAUUGAAAGAGAUCACCUCGGCAUGGGGCCUGGACCACCUGCAUCUGGAAUCAUGACUGUCCCCCCGCUUUACCCGACUCUCCAUCUGCAGGGUCACGCAGCCCCAAUCACAAAGGCCUGGUGCAGAGCGGGGACUGGAGUGGUGGCUCCGGCCUGUGAGCUCUUCCACCAGGUGUCAGAGGCGUGGAUCUCACAGCGACCAGGAGUGGCAGGGAUUGUUAUCCUCGAGAGCCUGUGCGUUCAUUCCCGGUGGGUGCACUGGAGACCCAGGAGGCCAUGGGCCCAGCGCCUGGCGGGAGGGACACACAGACUGCCAAGCGGGAGCACACAGGGAAGGCUGAUACCGCGUGGAGAAGGCAGCCAACCAGACGGCCCACCGGGCUUGCAAUGGAGGAUAACAAGGAAGGUCCCUCUCUCUCUCUCUCUCUCUCUCUCUCUCUCUCUUUUUUUUUUCAACUGGGGAUCAAACCCGAAACCUAGGCAUGUGCCCCAAUAGGGAACCAAACCUGCGACCCUUUCAUCCAAGAGCCUCCCACCAACUGCCCAGGGCAAGGAGGGCUCUUUCAACCAGGUCUUCAGAGGUGGGUCUAAGAAGACGCAAUCUCAGGCUUCAAAAAUCAAAAGGAGCCGAUGCCUCGCGGAGCUGGAGGCCAGUGUUCCAGGCAGAGGAAACUGAGGCACAGAGAGGGUCAGGAAGGGCACGAGGUCACACAGCAGCUGCGCAGGAGAGCCAACAUUUGAAACCCUACUGCCAGAUGCCGAACUCCCCCCCGUGAUGUCCUAGCAGGGCGAGUCAUUGACUGGCUCAGCGUGGGGCUCACACAUGGCAGGUCCGAAGUAAAAGCCCCUUUGCUGGCUCCUACCUGGACGGUGGCAGCUCAGGUCUGGGGUGUGCAGCCAGGCCUGUGAGGGCUGGAGAAGGGUUUGUCUUCCCGGGCUCCCGCUGGGAAAGGGGCGGGCAUUUCAUCCCAUUGUCCUUCCCUUCCUUCCUGCUCUCUACUCCAGCUCUGACAAAGCAGUUUUAAAGGGCUUAUUAAGGCCCCUUUGUCUUCUGUCCACCUUG